rnacentral:rRNA from 1 species
GACAGAGGGUGCAAACGUUGCUCGGAAUUACUGGGCGUAAAGCGCGUGUAGGCGGACUGAUAAGUCAGGUGUGAAAUCCCUGGGCUCAACCCAGGAACUGCACUUGAAACUGCCAGUCUUGAGUGAUGGAGAGGAUGGCGGAAUUCCUGGUGUAGAGGUGAAAUUCGUAGAUAUCAGGAGGAACACCGGUGGCGAAGGCGGCCAUCUGGAAAUCUACUGACGCUGAGACGCGAAAGCGUGGGGAGCAAACAGG